rnacentral:rRNA from 1 species
AUUGAACGCUGGCGGCAGGCCUAACACAUGCAAGUCGAGCGAGCGGCGGACGGGAGAGUAAUGUAUGGAGAUCUGCCCGAUAGAGAGGGCUAACUACUGUAAACGUUGGCUAAUACCGCAUCCUAACUGAUAGACACAUAGGGGCUUAGCUAUUAGGUGGGGUAAAGGCACACCUAGGCCACGAUCUCUAGCUGGUCGGAGAGGAUGAUCAGCCACACUGGGACGGAGAAACGGCGCAGAACACUACGGGAGGCAGCAGUGGGGAAGAUUGCACAAUGGGAGCAAGCAUGAUGGAGCCAUGCCGCGUGUAUGAAGAAGGCCUUAGGGUUGUAAAGUACGUUCAGCGGGGAGGCGGUACCCGACGAAAAAGCAACGGCUAACUCCGUGCCAGCAGCCGCGGUAAUUC